rnacentral:rRNA from 1 species
UCGACGUGGGGGCACCCUGACCGCAAUGCCGCGUGAGUGAAGAAGGCCUUCGGGUUGUAAAGCUCUUUUGUCAGGGAAGAAACACCGGCUCUAACACAGUCCGGGAAUGACGGUACCUGAAGAAUAAGCACCGGCUAACUACGUGCCAGCAGCCGCGGUAAUACGUAGGGUGCGAGCGUUAAUCGGAAUUACUGGGCGUAAAGCGUGCGCAGGCGGUUAUACAAGACAGGCGUGAAAUCCCCGGGCUUAACCUGGGAAUGGCGCCUGUGACUGUAUAGCUAGAGUGUGUCAGAGGGGGGUAGAAUUCCACGUGUAGCAGUGAAAUGCGUAGAUAUGUGGAGGAAUACCAAUGGCGAAGGCAGCCCCCUGGGAUAACACUGACGCUCAUGCACGAAA